CUGCUGGUGUAAUUUAACUCUUCAACGGAUGGAUGGAGCAACUGUGAAUGCCUGGCUGUAUUUCCCAGGCUAAAAGAUUUGAGGCCAGCCAUCAUAACCACACAAUAUGCAAGUUUUUCUUGUGCAGGUCUUAACCUGUCACCAGCAACCAUCUCAGGAUCAUCGCUUGGGUAAUGAUUUCCUUUACUUUUAUUGACUGCCUGUAACCUACUAGAUAUUUUAAUGCUGCAUUGCUGCAUUAUCUGCAAACCUUUCAUUCUCCCAUUCAUUAACAAUUAGUGUUUACCCAGUAUCUCAUUUUCAACUUUUCCUGACUUGUUGUUAUUCUGUCAAUAUUUUUCGUAACCCAUUUUCUAUUUUUAUUUAGACAAACAGCAUCCCUAGCUCGAUUGGAGAAACUACCGAUGUCGGCCGAGUUAUGGAUCUCCCUUUUUCCCCUUUUUUAAAAUGUCCUCGUGUACGCCCAUGUGAGUGUGGGUGUAUUCACGAGGACACCCUUUUUACCCUAUUCCGUCUGCUGGUGUAAUUCAACUCUUCAGCGGCAGCAACUGUGGAUGCCUGGCUGCAUUUCCCAGGAAUAAAGCUGUCGUUGGCAAAGCUUCUAGCGUAUCGUCCGUGCUGCUGGGUGUCACAAAUCGGAAGCAAACCAGGAAAACAAUGAGAAUCACACUCGGUCUUGGCAUCUAUCUUUUAGGCUAAGCGAAUUGAUUAGAUCGCGUUUGUUCUCGGCUCUGUCGUCCGCGGAAGACGUUUCAAUUCACCUCACGUUAAAGUUCACGAUAAUUCCGGAUAACUCGAACGGACACGUUUCCUC